AACGAACGCUGGCGGCAGGCCUAACACAUGCAAGUCGAACGCCCUAGCAAUAGGGAGUGGCGCACGGGUGAGUAACGCGUGGGAACGUGCCUUUCAGUCUGGAAUAACUGCGGGAAACUGCAGCUAAUACCGGAUAUUCUCUACGGAGGAAAGAUUUAUCGCUGAAAGAUCGGCCCGCGUUAGAUUAGGUAGUUGGUGGGGUAAUGGCCUACCAAGCCUACGAUCUAUAGCUGGUCUGAGAGGAUGAUCAGCCACACUGGAACUGAGACACGGUCCAGACUCCUACGGGAGGCAGCAGUGGGGAAUAUUGGACAAUGGGCGCAAGCCUGAUCCAGCCAUGCCGCGUGAGUGACGAAGGCCUUAGGGUCGUAAAGCUCUUUUGUCAGGGAAGAUAAUGACGGUACCUGAAGAAUAAGACACGGCUAACUCCGUGCCAGCCGCCGCAGUAA
rnacentral:rRNA from 1 species